rnacentral:rRNA from 1 species
GGAAUCUUGCGCAAUGGGCUAAAGCCUGACGCAGCGACGCCGCGUGAUUGAUGAAGGCCUUCGGGUUGUAAAGCUCUGUGGAGGGGGACGAAUAAGGGUCGGCGAACACCCGGCCUUAUGACUGUACCUCUUUAGCAAGCACCGGCUAACUCUGUCACAGCAGCCGCGGUAAGACAGAGGGUGCGAACGUUGUUCGGAAUUACUGGGCGUAAAGCGCGUGUAGGCAGCCGGGUAAGUCGGGUGUGAAAGCCCUGGGCUCAACCCAGGAAGUGCACUCGAAACUGCCAGGCUUGAGUUCCGGAGAGGAAGGCGGAAUUCUCGGUGUAGAGGUGAAAUUCGUAGAUAUCGAGAGGAACACCGGUGGCGAAGGCGGCCUUCUGGACGGCAACUGACGCUGAGACGCGAAAGCGUGGGGAGCAAAC